GACGAACGUUAGCGGCGCGCCUAACACAUGCAAGUCGCACGAGAAAGGGCUUCGGCCCCGGUAAAGUGGCGCACGGGUGAGUAACACGUGGGUAAUCUGCCCUCGAGCGGGGGAUAACAUUCCGAAAGGAGUGCUAAUACCGCAUAAGACCACGACUUCGAAAGAGGACGAGGUAAAAGCUGGCCUCUAUACAUAAGCUAGCACUUGAGGAUGAGCCCGCGGCGCAUCAGGUAGUUGGUGAGGUAACGGCUCACCAAGCCUAAGACGCGUAGCUGGUCUGAGAGGAUGAUCAGCCACACUGGAACUGAGACACGGUCCAGACUCCUACGGGAGGCAGCAGUGGGGAAUAUUGCGCAAUGGGCGAAAGCCUGAC
rnacentral:rRNA from 1 species